rnacentral:rRNA from 1 species
CUGUAAGCCGUUGAAGGUGGCCUGUGAGGGUUGCUGGAGGUAUCAGAAGUGCGAAUGCUGACAUAAGUAACGAUAAAGCGGGUGAAAAGCCCGCUCGCCGGAAGACCAAGGGUUCCUGUCCAACGUUAAUCGGGGCAGGGUGAGUCGACCCCUAAGGCGAGGCCGAAAGGCGUAGUCGAUGGGAAACAGGUUAAUAUUCCUGUACUUGGUGUUACUGCGAAGGGGGGACGGAGAAGGCUAUGUUAGCCGGGCGACGGUUGUCCCGGUUUAAGCAUGUAGGCGGAGGU